UCAAUAAGCGGAGGAAAAGAAACUAACAAGGAUUCCCCUAGUAACGGCGAGUGAAGAGGGAAGAGCCCAAGAUUGAAAGCUGGCGUCUUUGGCGUUCGCAUUGUAAUCUCAAGAAGUGUUUUCCGUUUCGGACCAUGCCUAAGUCUCUUGGAAAAGAGCAUCAUAGAGGGUGAUAAUCCCGUACAUGGCAUGGAGCGCCCGAGACUUUGUGAUACACUUUCUAAGAGUCGAGUUGUUUGGGAAUGCAGCUCAAAAUGGGUGGUAAAUGCCAUCUAAGGCUAAAUAUUGGGGAGAGACCGAUAGCGAACAAGUACAGUGAUGGAAAGAUGAAAAGAACUUUGAAAAGAGAGUUAAACAGUACGUGAAAUUGCCAAAAGGGAAGGGUAGGAGGUCAGAGAUGCGUUCUGGGAUUCAGCCUUGCUUUUGCUUGGUGUUUUUCCCAGAUGGCAGGCCAACGUCGGUUUUGGGCGCUGGAGAAGGGUGGAAGGAAUGUGGCACCUCUCGGGGUGUGUUAUAGCCUUCUACUGGAUACAGUGACCGAGACCGAGGACAGCAGCGUACUCGCAAGAGCGGGCCUUCGGGCACCUUUACGCUUAGGGCGUUGGCAUAAUGGCCCUCUACCACCCGUCUUGAA
rnacentral:rRNA from 1 species